AGGCAACAAUAGAUGGUUUCAAACGCUUGUCAGUUUAUUCAAUGUGUUAAGUGACUUAAGUGUUUACUAUCCAAUAUCCACUUUAAACUUGUAUUAUGUACUAGUUAUUCGCAUAUUAUUGUAUCGUUCUGUAAUUCUGCGUUCUGCUUAAUAAGUAAUAACUUCUCUGUACUCAUAACUCAUAAGUAAAGCAUCAGUUUAAAUAUUUUACAAACUUCGUUUUUUUAAGGUUUAUUCGAUCAAAUUAAUAAAUAUAAAUAUGGCAAAUCCACAAGUUAAAGUUCAAUAUAAUCAGAUAUUCAUCAACAACAGUUUCGUCAACUCAGUAAGUGGAAAAACGUUUCCUACUAUCAACCCGGCUAAUAAAAAGAUAAUUAUCAAUGUUGCUGAAGGAGAUAAAGAGGAUGUAGAUUUGGCAGUUAAUGCGGCAAGGGCUGCAUUUCAACCAAAUUCUGAAUGGCGUACAAUGAACGCAUCUGCUCGAGGGCAAUUGAUCUAUAAAUUUGCAGAAUUGUUAAAAAAAAACACAAUCGAUUUAGCAAAUUUAGAAUCUUUAGACAAUGGCAAACCAUAUAAUAGCUCUGAAUUAGAUGUAAAGUUGGCUGUUUCAAUUCUUCAAUAUUAUGCUGGAUUUGCUGAUAAAAUUCACGGAAAAACUAUACCAUCGGAUGGACCAUAUUUUACAUUCACUAAAUGCCAACCUGUUGGGGUAGUCGGAUCAAUUAUACCAUGGAACUAUCCAACUGUUAUAGCUGUAGGAAAAUUGGCACCAGCACUUGCUACCGGAUGUACUGUUGUAUUAAAGCCAGCUGAACAAACUCCUCUUACUGCUUUGUAUUUAGCUGCACUAUCAAAAGAGGCUGGAUUUCCCAAUGGAGUCAUUAACAUUAUACCUGGUUAUGGUCCAACUGCGGGUAAAGCUAUAGCUAGCCAUCCAGAUAUAAAUAAAGUGACCUUUACUGGAUCGACAGAAGUUGGAAAAUUAAUCAUGGAAGAAGCUGCCAAGUCUAAUUUAAAACGUGUAUCAUUAGAAUUAGGUGGUAAAAGUCCUCUGGUAAUUUUCGAUGAUUUUGAUGUUGAUGAGGCUGUUAAGAUUGCUCAUGAUUCUGUAUUUGUUAACAUGGGUCAAAAUUGUUGUGCUGCUUCUAGAACAUUUGUUCAAGAAAAUAUUUAUGAUACAUUUGUAAAAAAAGCUGCAAAAUUGGCAUCUGGUAAGAAAGUUGGAGACCAAUUUGAUGCCAAUGCAGAAAUAUGGCCUUUAGUAAGCGAAGAACAGUACAACAAAGUUUUGAGUAUGAUCGAAUCUGGUAAAAAGGAAGGUGCCAAAUUAGAAGCUGGUGGGUCUAACGUUGGUGACACGGGUUAUUAUGUUUACCCUACUGUAUUCUCAAACGUGACUGAUAAUAUGAAAAUUGCUAGAGAAGAAAUAUUUGGACCAGUUCAGCAAAUCAUUAAAUUCAAAACUUUAGAUGAAGUGAUAAAUCGGGCAAAUAACACUAAAUAUGGAUUAGCUGCUGGAAUAUUAACUAAAAAUAUGGAUACUGCAAUGAAGUAUAUGGAAAAUGUUAAUGCUGGUUCAGUUUGGUAAUUAUAACAAUAGGAUUAACAGUUACCUUGUCUUCGCAGCGCAAAUCCCAUUUGGUGGAUUUAAUCAGUCUGGAAUUGGCAGAGAAUAUGGAGAAGAUGGUUUAAAGGAGUACUUGGAAAUUAAAUCUAUCUCAAUCAAACAAUAAGUUUCAUACAAAAAUAAAUAAAUAAUUAUAUAUCAUUACUCCUAUGUAAUUUAAAUAUUACUUUUUUUUUUUUUAUUAAUAAAAACAAAUAUUUUUAUUAAAUAAAACCAACAA